rnacentral:rRNA from 1 species
CUUGACUUAACCAUAAGAGGUCCAGCCUGCCCAGUGACAUUGUUCAACGGCCGCGGUAUCCUAACCGUGCGAAGGUAGCGUAAUCACUUGUCCUUUAAAUGAGGACUUGUAUGAACGGCCACACGAAAGCUAUGCUGUCUCCUUUUUCUAAUCAGUUAAACUAAUCUCCCCGUGAAGAAGCGGGGAUGACCAUAUAAGACGAGAAGACCCUAUGGAGCUUUAAGCGAUUGAAACACUUGUACCCAUCUUCCACACUUCCGACAGUCUACGCUUAAUUUUACACUUUGUUUCUAGCUUUAGGUUGGGGUGACCGCGGAGAAAAAACAAACCUCCACGCUGAAAGAGUUAAUCUCUAAACAAAAAGCUACAUCUUUAAGUAUUAAUACAUUAACCUGAAUUGACCCAAUAAAUUGAUCAACGAAC